CAGUUUCACCUGAGCACCCAGCCGCCCCCUGGCCCUCAGCCAUGAUGACUCACACAGGUGUCAGGUAUGCAGUAAGAACACCUGAAACAGACAGGUGUGUGGUUACAACUAGACUUACAGCACCUGAAACAGACAGGUGUGGUUGCAACUAGACUUACAGCACCUGAAACAGACAGGUGUGUGGUUACAACUAGACUUACAGCAUCUGAAACAGGCAGGUGUGGUUACAACUAGACUUACAGCACCUGAAACAGACAGGUGUGUGGUUACAACUAGACUUACAGCACCUGAAACAGACAGGUGUGGUUACAACUAGACUUACAGCACC